rnacentral:lncRNA from 1 species
UUUUUUCUCGCAAAGGACAUCUCUCUUUUCCCCUCAAACUUCUGUUUUAUUGCUGAAGGAUGCUUCAUGCCUUUACCCCGUACAGUGGCACAGCGAGACUAGCAGAAAGAGAAGUCUUGGUUGUCGACACUCAAGAGCAACCUGGAGCUCAUGCAGUAGCACUGUUCUCCAGAUGGCUUUCCACGGCACCGUCUCCCGUAACACACCAGUGAUCCACGAGACUGAGACAGAAAUUCCAGUGUGGGGAGGGUGUGAGUCAUGAGAUGAUACUGACCGUUAGGAAGACACUGCUGCAGAGACUGAAACCAAACCCAGUUAUUCCUUGUUCUCAAGUCGUCUUGGGUUAGAAGUUGCUGAAAAAUAACUGUGAUGUCUCCCAUCAAGCAUACGUUCUCAAUGAGCUGGAUAUUUUCAAGUUGUUGAAAAUCUGUUCUGCUUGGAGGUUUCUCUCAUAGAGGAAUUGUUCAGCACCACAACAGGAGUGUGCAGGGGGCCCAUAAAAGUUUAAAUGCUUUGAAUUCACUGCCAGGCACAAGAAGACUUUACUACUUGAGAUUAUGUUUGGAAAUAAAUGAGUUCUUGUCAUAGAUUGGGCA